rnacentral:rRNA from 1 species
UACGAGAGGUGCAAGCGUUAUUCGGAAUUACUGGGCGUAAAGGGUGCGUAGACGGUUCAUUAAGUCUUUUGUUUAAGACCUCGGCCUAACUGAGGAACAGCAGGAGAUACUGAUAGACUAGAGUAUGAAAGAGGGAAGUGGAAUUCUCGGAGUAGCGGUUAAAUGCGUAGAUCUCGAGAGGAACACCGAUGGCGAAAGCAGCUUCCUGGUUCAUUACUGACGUUGAGGCACGAAAGCGUGGGGAGCAAACAGG